GGGGAUAUAGCUCAGUUAGAGGAGUGCUUUCCUCACAUGCACAAGGCCCUGGGUUCAAUCCCCAGCAACCCCA
rnacentral:tRNA from 1 species